rnacentral:rRNA from 1 species
AAAUUGAAGAGUUUGAUCAUGGCUCAGAUUGAACGCUGGCGGCAGGCCUAACACAUGCAAGUCGAACGGUAACAGGAAGCAGCUUGCUGCUUCGCUGACGAGUGGCGGACGGGUGAGUAAUGUCUGGGAAACUGCCUGAUGGAGGGGAUAACUACUGGAAACGGUGGCUAAUACCGCAUAACGUCGCAAGACCAAAGAGGGGGACCUUCGGGCCUCUUGCCAUCAGAUGUGCCCAGAUGGGAUUAGCUUGUUGGUGAGGUAACGGCUCACCAAGGCGACGAUCCCUAGCUGGUCUGAGAGGAUGACCAGCCACACUGGAACUGAGACACGGUCCAGACUCCUACGGGAGGCAGCAGUGGGGAAUAUUGCACAAUGGGCGCAAGCCUGAUGCAGCCAUGCCGCGUGUAUGAAGAAGGCCUUCGGGUUGUAAAGUACUUUCAGCGGGAGGAAGGUGUUGUGGUUAAUAACCGCAGCAAUUGACGUUACCCGCAGAAGAAGCACCGGCUAACUCCGUGCCAGCAGCCGCGGUAAUACGGAGGGUGCAAGCGUUAAUCGGAAUUACUGGGCGUAAAGCGCACGCAGGCGGUCUGUCAAGUCGGAUGUGAAAUCCCCGGGCUCAACCUGGGAACUGCAUUCGAAACUGGCAGGCUUGAGUCUUGUAGAGGGGGUAGAAUUCCAGGUGUAGCGGUGAAAUGCGUAGAGAUCUGGAGGAAUACCGGUGGCGAAGGCGGCCCCCUGGACAAAGACUGACGCUCAGGUGCGAAAGCGUGGGGAGCAAACAGGAUUAGAUACCCUGGUAGUCCACGCCGUAAACGAUGUCUACUUGGAGGUUGUGCCCUUGAGGCGUGGCUUCCGGAGCUAACGCGUUAAGUAGACCGCCUGGGGAGUACGGCCGCAAGGUUAAAACUCAAAUGAAUUGACGGGGGCCCGCACAAGCGGUGGAGCAUGUGGUUUAAUUCGAUGCAACGCGAAGAACCUUACCUGGUCUUGACAUCCACAGAAGAAUCCAGAGAUGGAUUUGUGCCUUCGGGAACUGUGAGACAGGUGCUGCAUGGCUGUCGUCAGCUCGUGUUGUGAAAUGUUGGGUUAAGUCCCGCAACGAGCGCAACCCUUAUCCUUUGUUGCCAGCGGUUAGGCCGGGAACUCAAAGGAGACUGCCAGUGAUAAACUGGAGGAAGGUGGGGAUGACGUCAAGUCAUCAUGGCCCUUACGACCAGGGCUACACACGUGCUACAAUGGCGCAUACAAAGAGAAGCGACCUCGCGAGAGCAAGCGGACCUCAUAAAGUGCGUCGUAGUCCGGAUUGGAGUCUGCAACUCGACUCCAUGAAGUCGGAAUCGCUAGUAAUCGUGGAUCAGAAUGCCACGGUGAAUACGUUCCCGGGCCUUGUACACACCGCCCGUCACACCAUGGGAGUGGGUUGCAAAAGAAGUAGGUAGCUUAACCUUCGGGAGGGCGCUUACCACUUUGUGAUUCAUGACUGGGGUGAAGUCGUAACAAGGUAACCGUAGGGGAACCUGCGGUUGGAUCACCUCCUUACCUUAAAGAA